UACGUAGGGGGCAAGCGUUGUCCGGAAUCAUUGGGCGUAAAGAGCGCGUAGGCGGCCCUGUAAGUCCGCUGUGAAAGUCGAGGGCUCAACCCUUGGAUGCCGGUGGAUACUGCAGGGCUAGAGUCCGGAAGAGGCGAGUGGAAUUCCUGGUGUAGCGGUGAAAUGCGUAGAUAUCUGGAGGAACACCGGUGGCGAAGGCGGCAUCCUGGACCGGCAUUGACGCUGAGGCGCGAAAGCUAGGGGAGCAAACGGGG
rnacentral:rRNA from 1 species